GGGUGAGUAACGCGUGGGUAACCUGCCUCACACAGGGGGAGUAGCAGUUGGAAACGGCUGAUAAUACCGCAUAAGCGCACUGUACCGCAUGGUACAGUGUGAAAAACUACCGGUGGUGUGAGAUGGACCCGCGUCUGAUUAGCUUGUUGGCAGGGUAACGGCCUACCAAGGCAACGAUCAGUAGCCGACCUGAGAGGGUGACCGGCCACAUUGGGACUGAGACACGGCCCAGACUCCUACGGGAGGCAGCAUG
rnacentral:rRNA from 1 species